GGGGACAUAGUCGAAGGGAAAGACGCCGCGUUGUCAGCGCGGGAGUACGGGUUCGAGUCCCGUUGUCCUCGCCA
rnacentral:tRNA from 1 species